rnacentral:rRNA from 2 species
GAGGAAAGAACUAAAUCAAGCACAAAAAAGCAAAGAUAAACCCUUAUACCUUCUGCAUAAUGUAUUAACUAGAAAUACCUUUACUUAGAGAACCAAAGCCAAGUCCCCCGAAACCAGACGAGCUACCCAAGAACAGCUGAAAGAGCACACCCACCUAUGUGGCAAAACGGGAGGAAUAUUCGUGAGCAGCGGUGGUAAGCCUACCAAGCCUGGUGAUAGCUGAUUAUCAAAGAUAGAAUCUUAGUUCAACUUUAAACUUACUCAGAGAAUUACUUAAUCUCCCUGUAAGUUUAACUGUUAGUCUAAAGAGGGGCUGCUCUUUAGACUCUAGGAAACAACCUUCCUACAGCGAGUAAAAAAUAUUACCACUAUAGUUGGCCCAAAAGCAGCCACCAAUUACGAAAGUGUUCAAGCUCAACAUCUGACCACCCUAAAUCCUACUCACAAUACUGAACUCCUUAUAUCACAUUGGACUAAUCUAUUACUCAACAGAAGCAAUAAUGUUAAUAUAAGUAACAUGAAGUGAUUCUCCUCUGCAUAAGCUUAUAUCAGACUGGAAUAAUCCACUAACAGUUAGACUAAUAUUAAUAAAUGAUUUAAUAAAUACCUUAUUAUUUAUCCUCUUAAUCCAAUGCAGGUAUGGUCCAAGGAAAGAUUACAAAGAGUAAAAGGAACUCAGCAAAUCUUCCAUCGCCUGUUUACCAAAAAUAUCAUCUAUAGCAUUACCAGUAUUAGAGGCACUGCCUGCCCAGUGACAUAUGUUCAAUGGCCACAGUAUCCUGACCGUGUAAAGAUAGCAUAAUCACUUGUUCUUUCAUUAGGGACUUGUAUGAAUGGCCACAUGAGGGUUCAUCUCUCUCUUACUUUUCAUCAGUGAAAUUCACCUAUCCGUGAAGAGGCAGAUAUACACAAAUAAGACGAGAAGACCCUAUGGAGCUUAAAUUUAUUAACGCAAACAAAAACUCAAAAUAAGCCUAGAGGAGAUAAUCUACUAUCCCUGAAUUAAAAAUUUUGGUUGGAGUAGCCUUGGAGCAUAAUUCAACCUUUGAACAACCUAAACUAACACCACACCAGCCUUUGCGAACUAACAUAUAUUGUUGCAAUAACUUAAUCAAUGGAAUAAGUUACCUUAGGGAUAACAGCACAAUCCUAUUCUAGAAUCCAUAUCGACAACAGGAUUUACAACUUUGAUGUUGGAUCAGGACAUCCUAAUGGUGUAGCCGCUAUUAAGCGUUCAUUUGAUUAAAGUCCUACAUGAUCUGAGUUCAGACUGGAGUGAUCCAGGUCGGUUUCUAUCUACUGAACAUUUCUCCU